UGGGGAAUUUUGGACAAUGGGCGAAAGCCUGAUCCAGCAAUGCCGCGUGUGUGAAGGAGGCCUUCGGGUUGUAAAGCACUUUUGUCCGGAAAGAAAUCCUUGGCUCUAAUACAGUCGGGGGAUGACGGUACCGGAAGAAUAAGCACCGGCUAACUACGUGCCAGCAGCCGCGGUAAUACGUAGGGUGCAAGCGUUAAUCGGAAUUACUGGGCGUAAAGCGUGCGCAGGCGGUUUGCUAAGACCGAUGUGAAAUCCCCGGGCUCAACCUGGGAACUGCAUUGGUGACUGGCAGGCUAGAGUAUGGCAGAGGGGGGUAGAAUUCCACGUGUAGCAGUGAAAUGCGUAGAGAUGUGGAGGAAUACCGAUGGCGAAGGCAGCCCCCUGGGCCAAUACUGACGCUCAUGCACGAAAGCGUGGGGAGCAAAACAGGAUUAGAUACCCCUGGUAGUCCACGCCCCUAAAANGAUGUCAACUAGUUGUUGGGGAUUCAUUUCCUUAGUAACGUAGCUAACGCGUGAAGUUGACCGCCU
rnacentral:rRNA from 1 species